CAGUCGCCGCGGUAAUACGAGGGGGGCAAGCGUUGUUCGGAAUUAUUGGGCGUAAAGGGUGCGUAGGCGGUUUGAUAAGUCUUGUGUGAAAUCUAUGGGCUCAACCCAUAGUCUGCAUAGGAAACUGUCGGGCUUGAGAGUGGGAGAGGUGAGUGGAAUUUCCGGUGUAGCGGUGAAAUGCGUAGAUAUCGGAAGGAACACCUGUGGCGAAAGCGGCUCACUGGACCAUUUCUGACGCUGAGGAGCGAAAGCGUGGGGAGCGAACAGGAUUAGAUACCCCCGUAGUCCCUGUCUCUUAUAC
rnacentral:rRNA from 1 species